GGAAAAGAAACCAACAGGGAUUGCCUCAGUAGCGGCGAGUGAAGCGGCAAAAGCUCAAAUUUGAAAUCUGGCGUCUUUGGCGUCCGAGUUGUAAUUUGAAGAAGGUAUCUUUGGGCCCGGCUCUUGUCUAUGUUCCUUGGAACAGGACGUCACAGAGGGUGAGAAUCCCGUGCGAUGAGAUGACCCGGGUCUGUGUAAAGUUCCUUCGACGAGUCGAGUUGUUUGGGAAUGCAGCUCUAAGUGGGUGGUAAAUUCCAUCUAAAGCUAAAUAUUGGCGAGAGACCGAUAGCGAACAAGUACAGUGAUGGAAAGAUGAAAAGAACUUUGAAAAGAGAGUGAAAAAGUACGUGAAAUUGUUGAAAGGGAAGGGCUUGAGAUCAGACUUGGUAUUUUGCAUGCUGCUCUCUCGGGGGCGGCCGCUGCGGUUUACCGGGCCAGCAUCGGUUUGGAGCGGCAGGAUAAUGGCGGAGGAAUGUGGCACGGCUUCUGCUGUGUGUUAUAGCCUCUGACGAUACUGCCAGCCUAGACCGAGGACUGCGGUUUUUACCUAGGAUGUUGGCAUAAUGAUCUUAAGUCGCCCGUCUU
rnacentral:rRNA from 1 species